CAGAGAGACGAAUUUACCUUGGUUCUUCCACAAUAGCUAUUCUUGCAGUUUUAUUGGGAACUUUGGGCAUUUUGCUUAUUUGUAUAGCUACUGGUUGCUACGUGUGGAACAGACGAAUGUCUAAAUCUAUAGAACAAAGCUCGGAAAUACGCCUAGGUCAGCGUGAAAUAGAACGGACCUAUGAACAGCUACAAAGACAGCCUAGCGUAGAAACAGACAGAAAUGUUGACGACAAUUAUACUGUACUUUCAAUUUAGAAGUUAGACACACGUUUUAACUUGGACAUCAUAAGGACAAAGAAAUAAAUACAAGGGGCACUUAUGACUUAAAUCUCGUACUUCAGUGACAGUUUAUAAGUGAUGACUUUUAUUUAGAAUAAUUCCAUUUAUGUCUGUACAGUGUCAUUUUAUAUUUUACCAAACUAGUAAGCUUACUUCCAAAAUUGAAAUGCCUAUUUUAUCUUAUUAUGUAUUGGUGAUUAAUACUCUCAAAUGCUUUCUCCAAACGACAACUAUAGAAGCCCCAUUCAAGUUAUUCAAAUGUGCAAUUACUUGUAUUAGUCUAAACUUUCAACAAAGCCACUUUGAUUUUGUGAUAUUACUUGAUCGAUUAUUUUCUUUCUUAUAAUUGCUAUGGUCUUUGGUACGACUUUGCUACCUAUAUAGUUAUAUAAUUAUACCAAACUAGUCGGAUGCCAAUUUGACAGUUAUAUGAGAUUUUACUUGGCUUUGUAAUUAAGGAAACUAAUCCUUGAAUUUCUAGUUCAGUAUGUGAUGGAUUUUAAAUAACUAUUUAAUGAAUUGUACGUAACAAAAUUAUAAAAUAUCCGAGAAUCGAUUGUUAAGCCAUCAGAGUCUUGACUUUAAUUUAUACUCAUUUCGUUGAAGGCAUAUGUACAUUCAAGAUAACUUAAAAAGAUGCACACAGUUUUUACUUCGUUGUUUAUUUUUUUAUGAGUGAGUUUGAAGAACCUUCAUAUCACUAGAUGGUUGUUUUUGCUUUUGCAUUCUGUAUGGAUUUUUGAAGAACCAUAUCACUUAUGUUCGUUAUUACAGUAAGUUUUGAUUCAAGUCUAGUAUUUUUUUUUGUGCGUUAUGACCUGUUUUCAAGUUUAGCAAAUUCCGACGAUUGUUGCCGUCAUUGAACAAUCUAGUAUUAUCUCAUCUGCAUUUUCAUGGCAAUUAAGUUGUAAUUUAUUUUAUCUAUUUUUUUCGAUGCAGUGUUUUCUCUAUGUUCUGUCACAUGUUUUGUGUAUGCUGCAUAUUAAACUAAAACGCUGCUUUUAAUACCUUUUAUAAGUUCCCGAAGAGUAAGUGAUAUCUGUUGUGCAUUUCAAGAGUUUCCUUUAUAGCAGUUGUUACUUGUUUUUGUAUGCUAUGUCACUUAUAAUGCUAUUUUUUUCAAACUAACAAGAACAUCGUUAAGAGUGAGUACUUUUGUUGGGUGUUGUUUUUUUCACGUCCUGGUUUAAUGCUAUAUCUUGAUAUUGUGUAAUGUAACUAUGACUGCUAGGUGCAUAGGUUCAAAUUGUGGUUAUUUUCGUGCAAAAUAGUGAUCGUGUUAGAAUAAAAUAUACGUUAAUUAAGAAC